CCCGAGAUGGUGGCCUUCCUGAUCCCAUGGCAGUGGGGAGGAUGAACAGCAAGCUCACAAACCUGGAUGUGGGGAGAGGAGAACCUGACCUCUUCAAACAGCUGCUUAGUACAGUGCCGUGGGACAAGGCUCUGGAUGGAAGGGGGGCCCGAGAAAGCUGGUCAGUACGGAAGGAUCACCUCCUCCAGUGAUCCUAACGAAGAGGAGGGCAGGCAGAAGUGCCGGGAGGCCUGUGUGGAUGAACAAGGAGUUACUGGCAGAGCUCAAAACAAAAAGGAAGGGUGGAAGCAAGGGUGGAAGCAGAGGGUGGAAGCAAGGAUGGAUAAUCUGGGAGAAACACAGGUAGUCUGAGCAUCCAGGCAUGAAGUUAGGAAAGGUAAAGUCCAAAUGGAAUUGAAUAUGGCCAGGGAUGUCAACGGAAACAAGAAGAGCUUCUGUAAUUACAUCAGCAGCAGAAGGAAGACUGUGGAAAAUGUGAGCACAAUGCUGAAUAAAACAGGAGACCUCAUUACAUGGGAUGGUGAAAAGAGCCUCCAGAAAUAUAUUCGUCAUUUCGGCCUUAAAGGGACCGGCCGAGCUUUUUCCCGGAUCACGUGGCGCUGAGCAAAGCCUCGCUGAGAAAUCCAGGUCCCGGCAAGGAGAGCGAUGGCUGGGCUGCUCUAACCCACUGGUUAAUGCUUGCGAAGGGCCCCAGGGGCUUGCAGACCUGCCAAGCCGCUCCGCAUUACGAAUCUGAACUGGAUGCGUCCUCCCCAAAUGUUUUCCGAGGCGAUGAGCUCAGACGGAGGACUGGGGCUUUGCACAGCUGAGCGCCGACCACCGUUGCUCUCGUCCUCCGCUGGCCUCUGAGCCUUUGCCCCUCAGCUGGGCUCUGUGCAACAGAAGCCAAAUGUUUAGGUCUCGCACAUGGGGAAAUGGUGUAACUCUUUGUCUGGGUCCCCAGCCCCUCUGGUCUGCUCCUGCUUUCCAAGGCAUGGGGCAUCCCGAUGGCGUAUCCCAGCCCUCCUCCAGCCUGGGUCCUGCUUGUCUCAUCCCAGCCAAGAAAUGGCAUUGGUGACAUAUCCCAAGUCACAGUGAAGCAAGACUGAUAAGUCAUUGCCAUAGGGAAUAAGGAUCCUUGGGGAUAACACAGAAGGGAGGAAAAUGGCAAAAAAAAAAAAAAAAAAAAAAAAAAAGUAUAGGAUAAAUGCAAAUUACUUGGACAAUGGAAGAGUGAGGUCUGUGGAGCAGUGUUAGCUGCAAAUCAGCCCUUAUAGCUACUUGGAGCAAUGCAACACUGUCCUCCUGCCCAGCUCCCAGCUUUGCACUGGUUUGCUACCUGGUGGCUGUGCCUGGAGCUUGGCCCUUGCAUCCAAACACGUCAGCACCUGCAGACACCUCCCUGUCUCAGAGACGUCCUUCCUCAUCCCUGUCUCCAGCGGCUCAUGUCCUCCGUCGGAGAUCUAGCUGCGCCCUUCCCUCAGAGAGGCUUCACUGCUGUUGAGCGCAAGCCCACAUCUGCAGCCUUACACUGCAAAAAGCCCCCAAACCCAUCCCCUGCCGU